GGAAAUGUGCCCGAAAGUUAGGGAUCACUUUGAUAGAGUGAAACAUAUGGGUUCAAACCCCAUCAUCUCCU
rnacentral:tRNA from 4 species